rnacentral:misc_RNA from 1 species
CGUACUCAUAGUCAGGCGCAACUACCACACGAUAUCGGAAACUACUGAGAAAACUGACAAUAAAAAGGCACGAUUCGAAAGACCCGGACACAACAAACCCAUUGAUACCAUAAAACCCCGUCUCACCCUACAAAAAGUCGCGUUCGGUGCUACAAUACUCACUGGAGGUUGCUUUUGCGGGGAUAGACUAUGAACCAGGUCAGACCAUCCAUUCAAGUGAGACCAAAUCAGGUGUCUGGAGCAUACGGGCGGGGUAAUGGCGUCAUUUCAGCCCAGUAUUGAAGUCGAGUGUACACGUGGUUAUGUGGUUGUAUGGAGUGUGAGUGGGGAGCGAGUUGGAGCAAUCUACAAGUAGCACAUGGUCAAGUAAGUGCAAGUAAAGGUAUGAACUAAGAUGUGUACGAUACUUAAAGAU